rnacentral:rRNA from 1 species
GAUGAACGCUGGCGGCGUGCCUAAUACAUGCAAGUCGAGCGAACAGACGAGGAGCUUGCUCCUCUGACGUUAGCGGCGGACGGGUGAGUAACACGUGGAUAACCUACCUAUAAGACUGGGAUAACUUCGGGAAACCGGAGCUAAUACCGGAUAAUAUAUUGAACCGCAUGGUUCAAUAGUGAAAGACGGUUUUGCUGUCACUUCUAGAUGGAUCCGCGCCGCAUUAGCUAGUUGGUAAGGUAACGGCUUACCAAGGCAACGAUGCGUAGCCGACCUGAGAGAGUGAUCGGCCACACUAGAGCUGAGACACGGUCCAGACUCCUACGGGAGGCAGCAGUAGGGAAUCUUCCGCAAUGGGCGAGAGCUUGACGGAGCAACGCCACGUGAGUGAUGAAGGUCUUCGGAUCGUAAAACUCUGUUAUUAGGGAAGAACAAAUGUGUAAGUAACUAUGCACGUCGUGACGGUACCUAAUCAGAAAGCCACGGCUAACUACGUG